rnacentral:rRNA from 1 species
AGCAUAAUCAUUUGUCUUUUAAAUGAAGACUAGUACAAACGAUUUAACACUUUAAUAAAUAUCUUUUAUUAACAAAAUUCAAAUUAUCUUAAAAGUAAAAAGACUUUUAUAAAGAAGCCAGACGACAAGACCCUAUCGAACUUAACUCCUGUUAAGCUGGGGCAGCUAAUAAAUUUAAAUUUUUCAAAAGAAAUUAAUAUAAAAAAGAUCUAAUACAAUUAAUCAUAUGAUUAAGUUACCUUAGGGAUAACAGCGUAAUAAAUAUUAAAAGACCUUAUAUAAAUAUAAGCUUACGACCUC